rnacentral:lncRNA from 10 species
GGAUAGAAUGAUUUAUUUUUAAUUAUCAGUGAGCAGUGACAUAACUCAAAGGAUGAAAAGAAAGACAAGCAAAGUAUCUGAAUAAUUCACAAACUGGAUAAUUAGCCGGAAUGGUUAGCAAUACUAGAAAUUCCACUGUUCAGGAUUCCUUUGUUCAGCCAAUAGCUACAAUCUGUCUCAUUUCAUUACAUCAGAUUGUUAAUGAGAAGGGAAGGAGGGAAAAAAAGACACGCAUUUGUUAGACUUCUACUGUGUGCCAGACUUUAGGUUGGGCAGCAGGGUGGCUUCAUGAGUAUGACCUGUGAAGUCCCACAGGGCCCCAUGCUUAGAAGGGCCCUGCACUUCUAAGUUUAAUGCUUUACUGUCACCGACUUGACAUUCUUAGUGAUUUUUGAACUAGGAUCCUACAUUUUCAGUUUUCACUGGGCCUUGCAAAUUCUGUAACCAGUCCUGCUAAACGGUUUUUAUGUUUUCUCUCUGUUAAUCUUCUUUUCUGCCCAAGGACAUUGUGGCAUUACUCCAUCUUUCCAGAAGGAGGACCUGGAUGCAUGACGAUCCCAAGGAGAUGUUGUAAAGUCAGGAUUUGGGCUCAGGUCUGUCUGGCUUGAGAGCCUCUGGGCUUUGCUCUGCCUCCUCUGCUCACACACAGCUUCUCAUCACCCCGGGGUCCUGAAAUCUAGAACUGGCUUCAGAAGCAGGG